AUACGGAGGGUGCAAGCGUUAUUCGGAAUCACUGGGCGUAAAGGACGCGUAGGCGGGUUGGCAAGUCAGAUGUGAAAUCCUACAGCUUAACCGUAGAACUGCAUUUGAAACUGCUAACCUAGAGUAUGAGAGGGGGAGAUGGAAUUAGUGGUGUAGGGGUAAAAUCCGUAGAUAUCACUAGGAAUACCGAAAGCGAAGGCGAUCUCCUGGAACAUAACUGACGCUAAGGCGUGAAAGCGUGGGGAGCAAACAGAAGUAGAAACCCUUGUAGUCC
rnacentral:rRNA from 1 species